GAGCUAAUACAUGCUAACACGCUCAACUUCUGGAAGGGAUGUAUUUAUUAGAUUAAAAGCCAAUGCGGGUCAAACCGUCCAUUUGGUGAUACAUGAUAACUUAUCGAAUCGCAUGGCCCAGCGCCGGCGAUAUUUCAUUCAAAUUUCUGCCCUAUCAACUUUCGAUGGUAAGGUAGUGGCUUACCAUGGUCGUAACGGGUGACGGAGAAUUAGGGUUCGAUUCCGGAGAGGGAGCCUGAGAAACGGCUGCCACAUCUAAGGAAGGCAGCAGGCACGAAAAUUGCCCAAUCCCAAUUCGGGGAGGUAGUGACAAGAAAUAACAAUACGGGGUCUUUAUAGGUCUCGCAAUUGGAAUGAGUACAAUUUAAAUCCUUUAACGAGUACCAAUUGGAGGGCAAGUCUGGUGCCAGCAGCCGCGGUAAUUCCAGCUCCAAUAGCGUAUAUUAAAGUUGUUGCAGUUAAAAAGCUCGUAGUUGGAUUUCGGGAUGGGCCAGUCGGUCCGCCUAACGGUGUGUUUACUGGCUGGUCUGUUCUUCUUCGCAAAGACUGCGUGUGCACUUUACUGUGUGUGCGUAGGAUUUACGACGUUUACUUUGAAAAAAUUAGAGUGUUCAAAGCAGGCAUACCGCUUGAAUACAUGAGCAUGGAAUAAUGGAAUAGGACUUUGGUCUUAUUUUGUUGGUUUCCGAGACCGAAGUAAUGAUUAAGAGGGACAGUUGGGGGCAUUCGUAUUUCGUUGUCAGAGGUGAAAUUCUUGGAUUUACGAAAGACAAACUACA
rnacentral:rRNA from 1 species